rnacentral:rRNA from 1 species
AUUGAACGCUGGCGGCAUGCCUUACACAUGCAAGUCGAACGGCAGCAUGAUCUAGCUUGCUAGAUUGAUGGCGAGUGGCGAACGGGUGAGUAAUACAUCGGAACGUGCCCUGUAGUGGGGGAUAACUAGUCGAAAGAUUAGCUAAUACCGCAUACGACCUGAGGGUGAAAGUGGGGGACCGCAAGGCCUCAUGCUAUAGGAGCGGCCGAUGUCUGAUUAGCUAGUUGGUGAGGUAAAGGCUCACCAAGGCGACGAUCAGUAGCUGGUCUGAGAGGACGAUCAGCCACACUGGGACUGAGACACGGCCCAGACGCCUACGGGAGGCAGCAGUGGGGAAUUUUGGACAAUGGGCGAAAGCCUGAUCCAGCAAUGCCGCGUGUGUGAAGAAGGCCUUCGGGUUGUAAAGCACUUUUGUCCGGAAAGAAAUGGCUCUGGUUAAUACCUGGGGUCGAUGACGGUACCGGAAGAAUAAGGACCGGCUAACUACGUG